rfam:Gossypium raimondii chromosome 4, whole genome shotgun sequence.
AAUCCAUGCAUCAGACACUUCCGAAUUAAGCCUUUAAAUACCUGUCAAGCUUCAUAUAGUGUUUCAUCAUCCAAUUAUCGAAAAGUUGUGAUGUCAUUUCUAAGCUU